GGAAGAAGUGAGCUUUGCUGUAACAUUGUAGAAAGUGAGAGAAACACCUUCAGUGAGGAAAUUCAAAAGCAUUCUGGUCACAGAUGGAGAUGUAACCCUGGGACACAGGAGGCUGUAGAAGAGCCUGCGGGGAGGAUGUUGAAGGUCCUGGGAUGGAGGAGGAGGAGGAGGAAGCAGCAGAGGCAGAGAUGCCGCCAGGAUGAGUGAGCAUGGAGGGCAGGUGCCACGGAGUGAGCCGCUGGCAUUGUUCUUUGUACAGGGACAUGAUGUGCAUUACAUAUUAUGAUGUGUUAUAUUAUCGUUAUAUGUAAUCAUGUAUUUAUAAUAGUGUUAUACUAUCAUUAUAUGUAAUCACGUAUUUAUAAUAUACUUAUGUAGUAUAAAGUUAUAUAAUUAUACCAUUAUCAAAUAAUUUAUGAAUAUAUAUUAUAUAAUAGAUGACAUAUAAUGUAUUAAAUAUACCAUAUACUAUAGUAUAUCAUAUAUACUGUAUACUAUACCAUGUACCAUAUACUAUAUAUAAAUGUGGUAAUACUAUGUUGUAUAUAAUCUAUACCAUAUUGUAUAUAAAGAAUUUAAUCCUAUACAUUAUUAGUUACACAUACUAUAAUAUAUAUCUAUGCUAUAUAUAGUAUAGAAUAUUCUAUGUAGUAACAUAGAUUAUAUAUUAAUAUUUUAUGUAAAUAUAUAAUCCAAAUCUAAAUAUAUGAAUAUAAAAUAUUUUUAAAACACAAUAUUUUAAAAAAUUAAAUGGAGAAAGACACAAAUAUUAUAUAUUUGCCUCUUCCAACAAAGAGUAGCCUUUGAAGGAUCCAAUAAAAGCUAGAACGGGUUCUGGCUCUCUAAUCAGCUAUGGAGUAUUGGGAAAAUCGUUAAGCCCCUGGGCCAGUUUUGUCAGCAAAUGGAAGAUGAGCUGACUCUCCUUAGAGGUCCUUCCCAAGCUUUCCUCCUGAGUUCAGCCCAAUACAGGCCAUGCACACCUGUGAUCAGGCCAUUGGAGAAGCUCCCUUUGGCGAGGGUCACCUCUAUCCCUUUGGUUCCUUUGGCGAAAGUCACCUCUAUCCCCACCCAAGGCCCACGAGGACCCAGCAGGCUGUGAAGACCCCCUCCCUCUGCCUGGAACCCCCAGGCCCCUCACUAAGCUCUGGCUUCUGGACCUCUUCCUGCCUUUGAUACUUGUCUUUCUAGACACCAGGGUCUUUAUCCUUGAAGUUAAGUUACUUAAGAUAUUUUAGCUCUGUCUUCUUGUAUCACUUGUUUUUCCUAGAACUUAAGACCAACAGAUAAAUUUUUUUCUUUUCCUUUUUCUGUUUUGGCUGCUCUGGGGCAUGCAGAAGUUCUGGGGCAGGGAUUGAACCCAAGCCACAGCAGAGCCAACACCAGAUCUUUAACCUGCUGAGCCACUAGGGAACUCCAAAAUUUUUUCAAUUUUUAAAGAAUCUUUAUGCAUUCUUUUAACUUUUUCCCCUUUAAUUCUUCUGUUUUUUUUUUAUUUAAGACCACCAGUUGUACACAUAUUGUUUCCCAUUGUCUCCACAUCCUUCCCCAGCUCCUGAGUCACUUAGCCACUUUGCACGGUGCAUGCACACUGUCCUGAGCAGUUCCAGGUUUGCUCAUGGUGUCCAGGACUGCAGUUCUCACCUGCUCCUCCUAUGUCUGAAGCUCCGGUUGUAGCUUCCCCUCCAGGCCCUUCUCUCCACCUGUUCCUUGCCCUUCUGUCCUUGUCCUGCAGUCUCUCCUUGGAGCCUUUAGAUCUCUUCCUUCAGCUUUUUUUCCUAAGAGCACCUGCUUGUCUUGACUUUAAUUUUGUUUAGUAAUGUUUAGUAAUGCUAUUUCUUUGAAUGAUUUCUUAUUUCCUUUUUACAAUUUUGAAAAAAAUGUAAAGACACAGGAAAAGUACAAAGAAUACUUACGAAAGGCAGCUGUGUUCCCACAACUCAAAUUUAACUAUGUACUUUCUUACAUUUGUUUUUAAUCCCUUUAAAAGAAAAAACAUAUAACAGAUACAGCUUAGGAAUCCUUUAAAUACACAACACAUAGGCCUGUCCUCACUCACCUGGUGGUAAACAGUUUGAUGUGUGUGGUUUGUCUUUUGUUUUGGCUGCACUCUCGAUGCAGAAGUUCCCAGGCUAGGGAUUGAAACUUCUUCCUGCCCAGCUGUUUAGUAUCUGGCCCCAGUCAGAGUCCUCCCCAUUGCUGUUCAUCUUUGAAGGAAGCCAGUCUGGUCCUUAAGGCUUGUGGGAGGAGGGACAGGGUAUGGGCUAUAGAGCACAACACCUACCUGGGUUUGCUGCCACCGCCUUUGGGCUCCCUCUCCCCAGCUCCUCUGGGCUGACUCUCUUAGCUAAAAGGCUGGAUCAUAGGCAAUAAAGAUAGCCCAUGGGCUGGCCUUCAGUUCAGUUCCCCCUUCUCAGGCCCAUCAGCCCCAGGGAUCCCCUAAGCCCCUUGCUCUGGGACUGAGCCAGCCACCAUGGCAGGUGAAAUAGGGGUGGGCAUCCCAGGCCAAGUGAAGUGUGAUGGGUCCACAGACUCCACCGCUUUCUCUUCCCUGUCCCUGCUCUGUACCCCAGGGGUGUAGGGCUCAGGGCACUUGGAUGGGGGGCGCAGGUAACCCUGGGCAUUCAUACUUCCUUAGCCCCCUCUUCCCUGCACCUGGCACGAGAAAGUCUCUGAUCCCAGGGCUGCAGAGCCAGGUCCACUUCCCAGGCUCCUGUACAGUGAUGUAGGGGUUAUGAGAAACUCCCAGGAGGCUGCUUUUCCACACUAUCACCUCAGGACAUUUGAACGAUUAAUAGUUUAGCAGCAGGGAGAUAUGCCACCAUGUAAGCAGUAAGUUUCCCAGUUAGAAAACAACCAAUCAGAGAAAAAAUGUUUUUAAUAGAGAAGAAGAGGUAGUGGGAAGGCUGAGUUUUCUAUUUUUCACCUGGUAGAUUAAUGAUUAUAUGUCUGCACAGCAGCAGCUAAUAAUUUCAAAUAGGAGGCAUAUGAUUAAAUCUCUCGAUGUUAUCUGCAAAUUGUUUCUCUGAGCUCUGCUUUCAAAGGGCAGCUCUCUAAUUAGAGUCAGAGAUGGUUAUUAUGGAGUUAGCCCUCACAAUCCACUGUCUCCACAGGUGAGUUAUUCUUUAAAGCACUAAUUAGGCAUACAUUCAGUUCCUUGUACCGUAUCUGACCUUCAACGUUUUGUUCUUUUCUCAUUAGAAUCAUUUCUCUCAAACUUCGCCCGCAGUAUGGAGAGACUAUUGAGCACUCUUCGCUGCUCCCUCCCAAGGAUUUCAAUCAAGUAGUCUGCCCCUUCUGCCUGCGGCACUUUGCUCAAUAAGACCUCUGAAAGUAACAGAGGGUUCGGCACUUUGCUCAAUAAGACCUCUGAAAGUAACAGAGGGUUCGCUCUUGACUUGUUAUUAUUGAAAUGGACCUUGUUCAGGGUCAAGGAUCCCUACUUUAAUCUCGAAUGGUCACCAGUGAGCAAAAUGCAUCAUACCUAAUACGUCAUCACUCCUUAAUCUUCGUUUUGCUCACUGGUGACCAUUCGAGAUCAUUUUAGAGAUGUCUUAAAUUUAGGUUCUUUUUUGAAGGGUUAAUUAAACGGCAUUAUAGGAACUGCAUUGACAUCCUUUAAAAAAAUUCCCCCCCCUCUCUUCUGAGUGAGCUCAGUUUCUGGCUGGGCUGGUGGGUGACAAUGCUGAGGCAGUGGCCUUUUCUGACAACAGAUCAGGAAAACUAAUGGCUUUCAGGGCCACUCACUGUGUGCCAGGCUGGCACAAGGACGGUACAAGUGAUCUCAGCCCAUAUCACAACCCCGAGGAGAGGGGAAGAGGAGACGGAGGCUCCGUGGUAGAGGGUCUGUCUGUGGGACAGCUGGGGCUCAGCCCCUUGGUCUGACGUGGGACCUGGCCUCUUCUCACCCCACUGAGGAAAAGAUGGGAGCUGCUGGUUGGUCCUGCAACCUGAUGACACUCAGCUUCAAGUGUCAAAUCAGUGACACUCCCACCAACAGCUAUGUCUCCUGCUGUUCAUCUUCUGUGAAUCUCUCUGUCUGCUUUUCAUUCAGUGGGUGGCUCGUGCAAGUGCAGGUUCCUAAACUGUAGCAGCUCCGAUGGGGAACAAAAGCCAACUGCACUCCCCAUGGAGAUCCUGGUCUAACUCUGAGAGGUGGACCUUAACCAGGUCACAUGGCUAAUCAAUAAACAUUCAUAACUGAGACAGUGGCUCAGGGACAAUACAGGGCUGGACUCAGAGUUUCUCCCUCAGACCUUGCAGGUCGAGAGGCUUCAGCAGGAAAUGCCUGCGUGGAGGCCGAGUGGACAGUUGGUGAGGCGAGCCUGGAGAAUCGGGGCCGUGGGGUUGAUAGGUGGUGCAAGUCGGGGACAGUCCUGCUUCAGAGGGAGGCAUCCUGCCCUCAUCCCUACUCUGGACAUCUGCCUGUUCAGAAACGUGCAGACCAGCAACGCCUCUAGGGGUGGCAGGACAGGGCUCCCAAUAUGUCCCAGUCCUAAUCCCCAAGAAUAGCAACUGUGUUAGGCUCCAUGGUAAAGAAGUCUAGGCUAUUCUGGCUGACGGUCAGUUGACCAGGAGGUGGGGGAUCAUCCAGGUGGGCCCAGUGCAACAAGGAGAGGGCAGGCCAGUAAGGCUUGGGAGGUUGUGCUGGCUUUAAAGCGGAAGGGUCCCUGAAGCCACAGAAGGUUGGCAGCAUCCAGAAGCAAGAAAAGACAAGAAAAGGAUUUUCCAUGGGAACACAGCUCUGCCAACACCUUGGUUCUAGCUUAAGAGGCCCCUUUCAGUCUCUGAGCUCCAGAACCAUAAAAUGCUAAAUUCGCAUGUUUGAAGCCAUUGAGUUUGUGCUAAUUUUUUCUUCAGCAAAAGGAAACCAAUACAUCAUUCAAUGAUUUUUUUUUUCCUUCCUGAAUAUUUCAUUUACCAUGUUGAGUUGGGUGUGAAACAACAGGUUUGUGUGAAAAUGCAGUUAAAAUUGACUUAAUUCUUUAGCCAGGGCCAAGCAUGUUUCUGAAUAAUGCCCAACUUGGUGUUUAUACCCUUCAGUUAAAAAAAGUGAUUAUUAUAGAAAUAUUGAAACUGUAUUGUAUUUCCCUUGGAUUUUGUCUUUUUUUUAAAAAAAUUUUUUUAGGGCCAUACCCGCAGCAUAUGGAGUUUCCCAGGCUAGGGGCCAGAUCAGAGCUACAGCUGCCAGCCUAUACCACAGCCACAGUAAUGCAGGAUCCGAGCAUUGCAAACUACACCACAGCUCACGGUGACGCUGGAUCCUUAACCCACUGAGCAAGGCCAGGGAUUGAACUUGCAUUCACAUGGAUACUAGUCAGAUUGGUUUCCAAUGAGCCACGACAGGAGCUCCUUCCCUUGGGUUUUGGAUAAAGAGGUGUAGGACUUAGCAUCUCUUAUUUCAUCUUUGUCCUUUUUAUUCAAGAUGAAAUAUUUUCAAAAAAUGUCACAAUGACACAGACAUGUUCAGUACUUGCUGUUUCCUGGUGGUAGGGUGGGCAGAACUCCUGGCACCUGUGUUAGUAUAAAAAAAACAGGAGACCCAGGACCAGACAGGAAGACACAGUGAAAGAUGCUGGAUUUUUGGACGAUGCCAAGUUGAAGGGUAUGUGUGGCAUAUGCUGCCAAGGGUCCCAAGACCACAGCCUGGGGGCCUGGUACCUCCAACAUGCAGUGUAUAGCCCUUGGCCUGACGACUUGUGCCCUCCUGAGCACUCCUGCCUGAACAGCCCCAGCUGGGCCAUGGUGCUGCUGUGUAAGUCACUCUCUGUGCUUGAAACAGCCUUCUGUUAUCUAGCCUAGUCACACAUGUGUGCCUUUGCUUCCAAUCAUAUUUAAAGCUGAGCCUAAUUGGAUUUAAUUCUAUUUUGCUUGAAGAUUUGUUGGGAAUCCUUUGGAGGGAUUAUUACUCCAAACAUACAUUAAGUCUGGAUUAAUAUUUAAAGGGUGGAAUGCCUACACAGCAUCUUGCAUUUGUAGCUUCUCUUCGUGCUGCAGAAGGAAGGCGGAUUAGCAGGAAAGGUUUGGUAAAGAAGUGCCUCCCUCAUUCUCUGUGCUGUAUGUGUCGGCUGUCUUGACCUGGCUCAGGGCCUAGGGUGAGCAGCUCAAAACCCAAAAGCUGCCCCUGGAGUCAGGUGAACAGAGUUCUGAAACUGCCAUAAUACCCUUCAGGUGGUCCUUUUUCUUUUUAAAAAAAUCUGCUUUUGCUUUAUUUCUGUUGCAUUUUUCUUCCCAAGGGGGCACUGCAGUGAUGACCAAAGUGGGUGGUGAGCAGCAGGCAAAUACCAUGCGAGGGGCGCUGCCCUGGACGGAUGGAGGGUCCGGCGGAUGCAGAGCGUCUCCUCUGACAAGGCUGCUCAUUCAGGGAGGGUCCCACAGCCGAUCCAGGGCCACCUGAGUUUCUUGCGGGUGGAGGUGUCCCCCGGUGCGAGCGCUCACCCCAACCCCACUCCCCCCAACAGCCUUCUUCUUUCCCACCUCGGUGCCUCCGCCACUUGCCCCCUGGAAUCUACCCGAUGACAGCUCCCGUUGCUGCUAUAGCAAAUGACCUUAAACUACAAGUUGAUUUCAGUGCUGGAGGUCGGGGUCCUAAAAUGUAUAUGUUGGCGGGGGAGGGUUCCUUCCGGCUCCUCUAGAGGAGAAUCCAUGUCACUGCUUUUUUUUCUAUCUGCAGAGGCCGCCAGCGUCCCAUCCCCAUCGUUGGUCCCAGAGGAGAGAGGAGGAGCUGGCCGGCCAGGGCGGGAGCAGGCUCAGGCUCCGGCUGUGCAGGGGCUGGACCUGCAGGCGGACAGAAGGUUGAACCUGCCUCCCUGGGUCCAAAGGCGCCGGAGCUCAGACGUACCCGCGGCCUUAACAACUGGCUCCGGUCUGGCAGAGAAGGAGCCUGGAUGCCGCCACCUCUGAGGUUUUACGAGUGAAAGGCUUUUCAUAGACGCAUCAGAGAACUGAGAUCACGGGGCAAACCGCUGCCCCCACAUGGAGACAGGCAGGUGGAUGGAGAAUCACAGUUUAGUGGAGCAGAAGUCUGUGUGGGAACUAGUCCUGGGGCAGGAAAACUUGACCUGUAACAGGGAAAUUGAUGGAGGCUUCGCGGGGACAGGUCUGGGUGAAAACUCUGGGGGCCACACUGUGUGGUUCCCCAGCUCUCAGUUCUGCUUAUGAAGUCCGCCCUCAGGGGGAACUGGUUACCCAGAGCCAGACCUGCUGGGUUUUCCCAGAGGAUGGCCAACCACAGGAGACAACUAUGCAACUUAGUCUCACCUACUGUGGGGAGAAAAAACUGAGAGGCUCUUGUAGCCGUCACAGCCCCUGUAGGAGGGCCGGUCAAAACCAGACAGUAAUCACAGGCCUCCCCACCCCAUGACCCCAUCCCCCAACACCUGGUCCCGAUCCCCCCACAUCGCUAUCCCCCAGCCCCACAUCCCCCACACCCACAUCCCCAUCUCCCACACCCCCAUUCCCCCACACUCACAUCCCCACCCUCCACCCCCACAUCCCCAUCCCCCCAUAUUCUCAUCCCCCACAAUCCUGUCUCCCACACUCACAUCCCUCCAUAUUCCCACUUUCCCACACCCACGUCUCCAUCCCCCACUUCCAGUCCCCGUUCAUCUGGCCCCAUGAGCGACAGAGGAUUCCAGUAGAAAACACUGCCUGAUUCAGACCUCGUUUAAAGAGGAUCUCCUCUCCUAUGUCACACUAAAUUAAAUUAUUCAGUUACACAUUUAACAAGUCACUGUGUGCGAGCCAUAAAAAGAACUGAAGUUCACCUUCGAAUCCGCUAUAGACAGCAUCACUGCAUCUACUCAUCAGCAAUAAGAUGUUGCUGUUUCCAUAACCACAAACGUGUUGUCCUGGGCCAUCAGGUCAGAGGUCCUGCCUCUUCAGACUCAUGCUCUUGGGGUGACUCUGCUCACCCAGUGCCAACAGGGGACUUGCAUUCAGGUUCUCUAGCCCCAGGGACUACACCAUACCUCCCGGGUUUCCCAAACCCUACCCACACCUAUGUACACCGUCCCUUUAUUAAACUCUCCUUCAACUACCUGAAUUAGAAUAUUCCAUUGUUCCCUCGGGAGAUUCUGCUACAACUGAAAAAGUGGAAAGGGCUCAGGUAUGUAACACAGACCUCUUUCCAUUCCUUUUGGCAAAA
rnacentral:lncRNA from 1 species